rnacentral:lncRNA from 1 species
UUGGACACUAUUGAUCUCAAUACCGUCCUUGAUGAUUUUGCAUCAAGAAAUGCCCGAAGAACUAUAUUUUUAUGAGAAGCAAUGUAUAUUAUGGAGUUCUAUUCUUCCUUAAGGUAAUCUUAUUAGUUUAAGUCUUUAUUGUUCUUCGAUAAUUAUUAAACAUGUUGAAUUAAAAAUAUAUUACUAGAUUUGUUUUUCAAGAAAAAUUAGCGCUUAUAUAUAUUAUAAAAUUUAUAUAUAGUUUAGAGGGCGCUCGUG